rnacentral:misc_RNA from 1 species
UCUCCGUUGGUGAACCAGCGGAGGGAUCAUUAGCAGAAUCGCCUCGCGGCAGCUGCAAACCCGUCGGACAAUACCACACACGUUGCCUCGGCGCGCCUGCGCGCCGGAGGCCCUUAACCAACCAUGAUACCGUGAGCCUUCUCUGACUAGUUUUAUUAGCGAUAAUAAAACCCUUAGCAACGGAUCUCUUGGCUCCGGCAUCGAUGAAGAACGCAGC